AAUCUUAUGGCUGGAGCGGACCAGAAACUAGCCCUUCCUUUGUAAACGAAACCGAUAAAAAGCUCGGGAAAUAAUUUUCUGGAGCUGUUUUCUUCCCAAGCGACUACAGUCUAGAUGUGACUUGCUCAGCCGCAGAAAUAUUUGGUUCGAGUGAAAUUGACUGCAUACGUUGGAUCGUAGAAGUAGCAUUGAGCAAAAUCAAGCGAAAAUAUUGAUUGGUUUGGAAUUGCCCAUUGGUGGUAACACUACCGGAAAAUAUCGAGUUAAUUGGAUGACCGCAGAGGACGGAACUAAGAUUGGGCAGAAUGCUAACAAUUUCGGUGUGGUUCUUAUGAGGAAAAGCAGAAACUCCGGUACACAGUGAAUUCUCAAGACAUUAAAGCGACAAUCAACCGGACGACUUCUUACCAGAUGUGUCAGCCUCACUGCAUCGUCCAGAUCAGCCGCUCCGACAUCUGUUUUAAUAAAGCUAGGGAAGAUGUCGUCAAUCCUCAGUUCACAUUCUGGAUGUACUUGCUGCUUCGUUUAAUCUUUGACGUGUUCAUGUCUGGAUCUGCCACUUUGUUUGAUGGAACCCUCAUUGGUUUUGGUCAACGAAGUCGGUGGUGAUUAUGGUUUCCAGAAAAUGUUUGGAUUUAUUGGACUUGCAACAUUUUCACUUAUUUCCGGGGCAUUGAUAGACUACUUUAGUGAAGGUGUUCAAGGGAAUAUCCGGCCUGCCUUCUAUUUGUUCGCCGUUUUUUUUUUGGAAUUGCUACAAUUGGAAUGCUGACAAUCAAUCUCAACUUUAAACCUCCGGCGAAAAACCUUUUUAAAGAUUUUAAAGUCAUUACUGAAAAACGUGGAAUUGGAUCUCUUACUGUUCAUCGCUUAUAUUUCUGGCAAGCUGACUCAGAAAUUGAACAAGUAUAUUUAGUAAAACUAAUAUUGGGUUUCGGUUGUUUCUGUCCAAUCGGUGGCUCUGAUUCCGCUGCUUAUCUUCUCCGAUCGCAUCUUCCGGAAGUUGAGUCAUCCAAACGUUCAAGUCAUUUGCUUAGGCGUCAGCGUCAUUCGACUUACAGGAUAUUCCUAUCUGCAAGAUCCGCGUUUGUGUGUCCUAUUGGAGAGAGAGAGAGGCAAUUUCCUGGAAUUUCGCCCGAAUUUCCCACGUCGCCUACGCUAAUGUACUAAGAACAAAGACUACUAUAGCUUCUAUUCACGGAUUACUGUCAGGGAUCACCUAUGGCUUAGGGUGCGGAACUGGCAGUAUUGGUGGAGGUUUGCUUAUCGGAGUGUACGGCCUUCGCGUAACCUUCCGCAUUUUGGGUGCCAUCUCUUUCAUAACUGGCCUUCUCUACUUCCUGAUCAACAUCUUCUAUUUGCAUCAGAAAAAAGACGCAAAACCCAAGAAUUCUCAAAAGGUAGAUCAAAAUUCCAAUGUCACUUGCUGUUAAUAAUUUAAAACCUUGUAUAAUAACUUAUAUGAAUGGAGCCUAUUCAAUAUCCGCAUUCGCAAUGUACAUGACAAGAUGAGGCGAAAAACAAGCAAACGUA